UCCAUUUAUCAUUAUUUCCUUUUGUUAUUCUGUUCUCCUGUUAUGUUGUUUACAUUAUGGCAGGCCACAUCACUCCAUUGGAAUGAAUAAACAGAUCUCAGGAGAAGUGAGCAGUAUAGAAAAAUGGAUAUAUAUGGAAGAAGUUUCAAAAGGCAUCAGUAACCGAACAGCCUGUCUAGAUUGUCUUACAGUUUGAAUGCAUAUGUGCUCUCCUGAGAUUUGGACAGAAGUGGGAGUAAUCUGAGAUGCAUGCUAAAAGAUUGACACUUCUAAGUGCACAGACAGCUACAUCUGUUUCCUUGAGAUCUUUUUAUCAGCAUCUGCUCUCUAUCACAGCAGCUACCUAAUGGAAACUGAAAUUGUUUAAGGCUUUCAGAUGAUUAAAAGAAAUUUCACCAUAUUGUGACCAGUCCUGUUCCGUCAUUUCAACUUUGAGAGAGUCCUGUUUGGAAAUUGCUGAAAGAAAACAGUUCAGAGAACAACCACAAUCUUGGGUCUGUUUGCUCAGGUUUCCCUCCUUACCUGGAUUACUUGUGCACUUCUCAGAACUGGUUUGGGCUCCUCUGACAGUGGCUGAUUUUGUCUGGUCAGUUCUCCUAAUACCAGCUUGAUUGCUCCCGGUGAGUCUUCAGGUCAGCCUAAAGUCUUGUAAACUGGGAAUAUGGGAUGAUUAAACUGUAGC
rnacentral:lncRNA from 1 species